rnacentral:rRNA from 1 species
AAAUUGAAGAGUUUGAUCAUGGCUCAGAUUGAACGCUGGCGGCAGGCCUAACACAUGCAAGUCGAACGGUAACAGGAAGCAGCUUGCUGCUUUGCUGACGAGUGGCGGACGGGUGAGUAAUGUCUGGGAACU